UACGUAGGGGGCGAGCGUUACCCGGAUUUACUGGGCGUAAAGCGCGUGUAGGCGGCUGGCCAAGCGUGGUGUGAAAUCUUCGGGCUUAACCCGAAAACUGCAUUGCGAACUGGUCUGGCUAGAGUGUGUGAGAGGGUAGUGGAAUUCCCGGUGUAGCGGUGAAAUGCGUAGAUAUCUGGAGGAACACCGGUGGCGAAGGCGGCAUCCUGGACCGACACUGACGCUGAGAAGCGAAAGCCAGGGGAGCAAACGGG
rnacentral:rRNA from 1 species